ensembl:snoRNA
GUUGCCCCUAGAGGCAUUACAAUACAGGCUGCUGUGCCUCAUUUGUGUCAUUAGGUGGCAAAAGAAAGUGACUGUGUCUACGCUCAGUGCUCGGACCCAGUAAGCACUCAGAAUGAUUAAUAGCCUUACACUU